UACGUAGGGUGCAAGCGUUAAUCGGAAUUACUGGGCGUAAAGCGUGCGCAGGCGGUUUUGUAAGUCUGUCGUGAAAUCCCCCGGCUCAACCUGGGAAUUGCGAUGGAGACUGCAAGGCUAGAAUCUGGCAGAGGGGGGUAGAAUUCCACGUGUGAGCAGUGAAAUGCGUAGAUAUGUGGAGGAACACCGAUGGCGAAGGCAGCCCCCUGGGUCAAGAUUGACGCUCAUGCACGAAAGCGUGGGGAGCAAACAGG
rnacentral:rRNA from 1 species